GACGAACGCUGGCGGCGUGCUUAACACAUGCAAGUCGAGCGGUAAGGCCCUUCGGGGUACACGAGCGGCGAACGGGUGAGUAACACGUGGGUGACCUGCCCUCAGCUCUGGGAUAAGCCUGGGAAACUGGGUCUAAUACCGGAUAUGACCAUAUGCUGCAUGGUGUGUGGUGGAAAGUUUUUCGGCUGGGGAUGGGCCCGCGGCCUAUCAGCUUGUUGGUGGGGUGAUGGCCUACCAAGGCGACGAUCGGUAGCUGGUCUGAGAGGACGACCAGCCACACUGGGACUGAGACACGGCCCAGACUCCUACGGGAGGCAGCAGUGGGGAAUAUUGGACAAUGGGCGCAAGCCUGAUCCAGCGAUGCCGCGUGUGUGAAGAAGGCCUGCGGGUUGUAAAGCACUUUCAGUAGGGAAGAAAAGCCGAGUGCUAAUAUCACUCGGUCUUGACGUUACUUACAGAAGAAGCACCGGCUAACUCCGUGCCAGCAGCCGCGGUAAUACGUAGGGUGCGAGCGUUGUCCGGAAUUACUGGGCGUAAAGCGCGUGUAGGCGGUUUGUUGCGUCGGCCGUGAAAACUCAGGGCUCAACCCCGAGCCUGCAGUCGAUACGGGCAGGCUAGAGUGCGGCAGGGGAGACUGGAAUUCCUGGU
rnacentral:rRNA from 1 species